rnacentral:rRNA from 1 species
AUUGAACGCUGGCGGCAGGCCCAACACAUGCAAGUCGAACGGUAACAGGAAACAGCUUGCUGUUUCGCUGACGAGUGGCGGACGGGUGAGUAAUGUCUGGGAAACUGCCUGAUGGAGGGGGAUAACUACUGGAAACGGUAGCUAAUACCGCAUAACGUCGCAAGACCAAAGAGGGGGACCUUCGGGCCUCUUGCCAUCGGAUGUGCCCAGAGGGGAUUAGCUAGUAGGUGGGGUAAAGGCCCACCUAGGCGCCGAUCCCUAGCUGGUCUGAGAGGAGAGCCAGCCACACUGGAACUGGGACACGGUCCAGACUGCUACGGGAGGCAGCAGUGGGGAAUAUUGCACAAUGGGCGCAAGCCUGAUGCAGCCAUGCCGCGUGUAUGAAGAAGGCCUUCGGGUUGUAAAGUACUUUCAGCGGGGAGGAAGGGAGUAAAGUUAAUACCUCUGCUCAUUGACGUUACCCGCAGAAGAAGCACCGGCUAACUCCGUGCCAGCCGCCGCUGUAA